rnacentral:rRNA from 1 species
CUACGGGGGGCUCCAGUGGGGAAUAUUGGACAAUGGGGGAAACCCUGAUCCAGCAAUGCCGCGUGUGUGAAGAAGGCCUGCGGGUUGUAAAGCACUUUCGGUUGGGAGGACUGCUUCUAGCACUAAUAUUGUUGGAAGUUGACGUUACCUUCAGAAGAAGCACCGGCUAACUCCGUGCCAGCAGCCGCGGUAGAUACGGAGGGUGCAAGCGUUAAUCGGAAUUACUGGGCGUAAAGCGCGCGUAGGCGGCUAGAUCAGUCGGGUGUGAACGCCCCGGGCUUAACCUGGGAACUGCAUCCGAUACUGUCUAGCUUGAGUACAGGAGAGGAGAGUGGAAUUCCACAUGCAGCGGUGAAAUGCGUAGAUAUGUGGAGGAACACCAAUGGCGAAGGCAGCUCUCUCGCCUGAUACUGACGCUGAGGUGCGAAAGCGUGGGGAGCAAACAGGAUUAGAUACCCGUGUAGUC